UACGGAGGAUGCAAGCGUUAUCCGGAAUGAUUGGGCGUAAAGGGUCCGCAGGUGGCAGUGUAAGUCUGCUGUCAAAGAAUGAGGCUUAACCUUAUCAAGGCAGCGGAAACUACACAGCUAGAGUACGGUCGGGGUAGAAGGAAUUCCUGGUGUAGCGGUGAAAUGCGUAGAGAUCAGGAAGAACACCGGUGGCGAAAGCGUUCUGCUAGACCUGUACUGACACUGAGGGACGAAAGCUAGGGGAGCUAAUGGG
rnacentral:rRNA from 1 species